AAACCAUGAUGAGGACACUGAGCAAUGUAGCUGUUGAAUCGUUCCCAUGCUUCACCAAAACCUUCUAGAUUCCUUUGUUGAAAUCCUGGAAAUCUCAUUCCUAAGCUU